AGUGAACGCUGGCGGCAGGCCUAACACAUGCAAGUCGAGCGGAGCGGCGGACGGGUGAGUAAUGCCUAGGACUCUGCAUGGUAGUGGGGGAUAACGUCCGGAAACGGACGCUAAUACCGCAUCCUAUCAGAUGAGCCUAGGUCGGAUUAGCUAGUUGGGGGGGUAAAGGCCUACCAAGGCGACGAUCCGUAACUGGUCUGAGAGGAUGAUGAGUCACACUGGAACUGAGACACGGUCCAGACUCCUACGGGAGGCAGCAGUGGGGAAUAUUGGACAAUGGGCGAAAGCCUGAUGCAGCCAUGCCGCGUGUGUGAAGAAGGUCUUCGGAUUGUAAAGCACUUUAAGCUGGGAGGCGUUACCAACAGAAUAAGCACCGGCUAACUUCGUGCCAGCCGCCGCGGUAAUUC
rnacentral:rRNA from 1 species